CCUACGGGAGGCAGCAGUAGGGAAUCUUCCACAAUGGGCGAAAGCCUGAUGGAGCAACGCCGCGUGGGUGAAGAAGGUCUUCGGAUCGUAAAACCCUGUUGUUAGAGAAGAAAGUGCGUGAGAGUAACUGUUCACGUUUCGACGGUAUCUAACCAGAAAGCCACGGCUAACUACGUGCCAGCAGCCGCGGUAAUACGUUGGUGGCAAGCGUUAUCCGGAUUUUUUGGGCGUAAAGGGAACGCAGGCGGUCUUUGAAAUCUGAGGUGAAAGCCUUCGGCUUAACCGGAGUAGUGCAUUGGAAACUGGUAGACUUGAGUGCAGAAGAGGAGAGUGGAACUCCAUGUGUAGCGGUGAAAUGCGUAGAUAUAUGGAAGAACACCAGUGGCGAAAGCGGCUCUCUGGUCUGUAACUGACGCUGAGGUUCGAAAGCGUGGGUAGCAAACAGGAUUAGAUACCCUGGUAGUC
rnacentral:rRNA from 1 species